rnacentral:rRNA from 1 species
GACGAACGCUGGCGGCGUGCCUAAUACAUGCAAGUAGAACGCACAGUUUAUACCGUAGCUUGCUACACCAUACACUGUGAGUUGCGAACGGGUGAGUAACGCGUAGGUAACCUGCCUGGUAGCGGGGGAUAACUAUUGGAAACGAUAGCUAAUACCGCAUAAUAUUGAUUAUUGCAUGAUAAUUGAUUGAAAGAUGCUAUUGCAUCACUACCAGAUGGACCUGCGUUGUAUUAGCUAGUAGGUGAGGUAACGGCUCACCUAGGCGACGAUACAUAGCCGACCGGAGAGGGUGAUCGGCCACACUGGGACGGAGACACGGCCCAGACUCCUACGGGAGGCAGCAGUAGGGAAUCUUCGGCAAUGGACGAAAGUCUGACCGAGCAACGCCGCGUGAGUGAAGAAGGUUUUCGGAUCGUAAAGCUCUGUUGUAAGAGAAGAACGGGUGUGAGAGUGGAAAGUUCACACUGUGACGGUAUCUGACCAGAAAGGGACGGCUAACUACGUG